rnacentral:rRNA from 1 species
AUUGAACGCUGGCGGCAUGCUUUACACAUGCAAGUCGAACGGCAGCGCGGGCUUCGGCCUGGCGGCGAGUGGCGAACGGGUGAGUAAUGCAUCGGAACGUGCCCAGUAGUGGGGGAUAGCCCGGCGAAAGCCGGAUUAAUACCGCAUACGACCUGAGGGUGAAAGCGGGGGACCGAAAGGCCUCGCGCUAUUGGAGCGGCCGAUGUCGGAUUAGCUAGUUGGUGGGGUAAAGGCUUACCAAGGCGACGAUCCGUAGCUGGUCUGAGAGGACGACCAGCCACACCGGGACUGAGACCCGGCCCAGACCCCUACGGGAGGCAGCAGGGGGGAAUUUUGGACAAUGGGGGCAACCCUGAUCCAGCCAUGCCGCGGGCGGGAAGAAGGCCUUCGGGUUGUAAACCGCUUUUGUUCGGGAAGAAAUCCUCUGGGCUAAAACCCCGGGGGGAUGACGGUACCGGAAGAAUAAGCACCGGCUAACUACGU